rnacentral:tRNA from 1 species
GGCGGAUAGCUGUGAUUUCCGGCCCUUAAGCAACUGACUUGUAAUCAGUAGGUCCCGGGUUCGACUCCUGGUGCCGGCACCA